UAGGGAAUCUUCCACAAUGGACGCAAGUCUGAUGGAGCAACGCCGCGUGAGUGAAGAAGGCUUUCGGGUCGUAAAACUCUGUUGUUGGAGAAGAACGUCUUCAGAGUAACUGUUGUCGGCGUGACGGUAUCCUACCAGAAAGCCACGGCUAACUACGUG
rnacentral:rRNA from 1 species